rnacentral:rRNA from 1 species
CCUACGGGUGGCAGCAGUGAGGAAUAUUGGUCAAUGGGCGAGAGCCUGAACCAGCCAAGUCGCGUGAAGGAUGACGGCCCUACGGGUUGUAAACUUCUUUUGUCAGGGAGCAAUUGGGUCCACGCGUGGGCUUAGAGAGAGUUACUGACGAAGAAGCAUCGGCUAAAUCCGUGCCAGCAGAAUCGGUAAUACGGAGGAUGCGAGCGGUAUCAGGAUUUAUUGGGUUUAAAGGGUGCGUAGGCGGAAUAUCAAGUCAGCGGUAAAAAUUCGGGGCUCAACCCCGUCGUGCCGUUGAAACUGAUGUUCUUGAGUGGGCGAGAAGUAUGCGGAAUGCGUGGUGUAGCGGUGAAAUGCAUAGAUAUCACGCAGUACUCCGAUUGCGAAGGCAGCAUACCGGCGCCCAACUGACGCUGAAGCACGAAAGCGUGGGUAGCGAACAGGAUUAGAUACCCCAGUAGUC